rnacentral:miRNA from 1 species
AUUUAGCGAGCUGAGUGGGGAGGAGAGAGGGACAGAGAGCCUGCUUGCUUUAAAGGAACCAACCGGACAGGAGCCGCUUACACUCGUGUAGCGGCUCCUCCUCUCCUGCUUUGCUCCUUUAAAGAAGCAGGCUCUCUGUCCCUCUCUCCUCCCCACUCAGCGGCUCUUCUC